AUCUCAGAGAGCACUCUUGCCCUUUUCACCAUGUGAGGACAUGGUAAGUUCAUCUAUGAACCAGGAAGUAGACCCUUGCUGGACACUGAAUCUGCAGGGUACCAAGACUUGUCCUCCAUCAGGCACUGACACAAAGACACAUAGUCCUGGCCUUUGGAAAACUCAUAAUCAAGAGUUGGUGACAGAUAUGGAACUAUAUCAACUCUGAAGGGGAGAUUCUGUACGGAAUUAUUCUGAAGCAGGAAGACUUCACAGCACCCACACUCAAAUCGCUGUGUGAGGGAAGAACAGGUGUGGCUGGUGGGUAGAACUGGUGAUGUGCUGACGAGAGGACGAGUCAUUAGGCAAAAAGGAAGAAGUGUCAUUUUGCUGUUUACAGCAUUCAGUCUCAGUUCUGAACCAGAAUGUGUUGUUUUGCUGCCACCAAAGUAUACUCAGCACUGAAAUAUCCUGCCACCCCUCAUCCCAGUGAGAAAUAAGCCUCUUAACCCACGGCAGGCAAUGGAAUUGUGUUGAAUGACUGAACUUAUGGGUGUUAACCCAGGGAAACAGUUGACACUUUUAUGGAAAAUGUACCUCCCCCGAGUACUGAGGAUUAAAGAAAGAGACUACAUCAUCACUAUCCUCAGUGUCUAAACAAGAAUCAGAGAAACAAAACAUAGAGAAGGAGCCAUCUCAGGACCACAUUCUGGAGCCCAUGAGUAAGUCAGCUAUGGUCUCCAUCUUAGACCACAUUCGGCAGGUACAAGAGACAGGUGUGGGAAAAUCAGGCUGCAGAAGUGGGCAAUGGGAGGAAGAGACCCUUUGAAUAUCAGGUUGAAGAGUUUAGAGCUAAAAGGUAGAAAAAUGAACCAAAGCUGAACACUGGAUUUCCAUGAGUCUAGCUCGUCCUGUAGUUGAGGACCAAACACUUCAUCCAGUUAAGUAGCUGAUCCUUGACUAGACACAGGAGAUAGAUGCAGACAUGUAUUCAGGCUCAGGCUACAGAAAUGGUUUCUCGAAGGAAUGAAAGCUUAUUCAGAUGUAUGAGAGGAAAUAAGUUGCUAUUCACAAUAAAAACUGCUUUCUAAAAGUAGGUCUAGUUCAAUGGAAGGUGUGCCCCCACGUGUGCAUGUGUACAUGUGUGUGUGUGUGUGUGUGUGUGUGUGUGGUGUAAUGGGAAUUGAAUCCAGGGGUUCUGUACCACUGAGCUACAUCCUCAGCCCUUUUUAUUAUUUGAGGCAGGACCUUGCUAGGUUCCUCAGCUGGCCUUGAACUUGUGAUCCUCCUGCCUCAACCUCCCAAGCAACACCACCGUGCCUAGCUUGGUUUGUUUGUAUCUGAGAUGCAAAAGAGAGAAGUGGAAGUGAUUUUGGACCUAGGGAGUCCAGAGAGCUGACCUUCUCUGUAUAACUUAGUAUGAACAAUUGGGGGUCUUCAAAGAGGAAAGAGAUGAGAAGGUAAGAGAGGCACAGAAAGAGUGGGAUGGUGAACAACAACGCCCAUGCAGUGGUGCAGUGAUCCACAGCCCUCUGAUUAAUGCUAUACUUGCUAGGUGUGCGAAGUUGUCUGUGUUGCUUAUUAUACCUUUUCCCCUAUCUUCACCUGAAGGGUGUGACAGACAAACACUAUGGGGAGAUGGUGACACUGGGGUGUCUGGGUUGAUUCAGGAGCUGAUUACUGAGUUAGGAAAUGAGUGCUCCAGGAAGGCACAGUGGAGAGCAAGAAAAGCAAACAAAAGUGGUAAAAUGAUCCAUCAACUGCAUUAGUUCACAGAAGUGAGAGCUCAAACCAUGAGCCCACUUGAAAUUUCCAAGAAUCUUAGUAAAUGCCUUUUAUCCUUCAAGGUGUGGACUGAGGGUUCCCGGCAGUACUAUUUGGACUUUGAAGGCCCGGAAGACCUCAGUUAAAAUGAGGUACAUUAAGAAUUUCAGGCAGGACUAGACAGUUCAUUCAGCUGAAUUUCAACAGGUUUCACAUACAUAUGUUAAAAUACAAAAGGAGGCAGGAAUUUAGCUCAGUGGUUUCGUUGCCUGCCCCACAAGCACAAGGUCCCGAGUUCGAUCCCCGGUACCAAAAAACAAACAAACAAAAAACCCCAAAUAUUUUCUGGUUAAUCAUAUUAAAGAGUGGUCGUAGUUACUUUCAUCAGUAUGAGCUUUAGGAUUUUUCCUCCUGCAUCCUUUUAAAAAAUUAUUUUUAUUGGUGCAUAUCUGCA